GAUGAACGCUGGCGGCGUGCCUAAUACAUGCAAGUCGAGCGAACAGACGAGGAGCUUGCUCCUCUGACGUUAGCGGCGGACGGGUGAGUAACACGUGGAUAACCUACCUAUAAGACUGGGAUAACUUCGGGAAACCGGAGCUAAUACCGGAUAAUAUAUUGAACCGCAUGGUUCAAUAGUGAAAGACGGUUUUGCUGUCACUUAUAGAUGGAUCCGCGCCGCAUUAGCUAGUUGGUAAGGUAACGGCUUACCAAGGCAACGAUGCGUAGCCGACCUGAGAGGGUGAUCGGCCACACUGGAACUGAGACACGGUCCUGACUCCUACGGAAGGCAGCAGUAGGGAAUCUUCCGCAAUGGGCGAAAGCUUGACGGAGCAACGCCGCGUGAGUGAUGAAGGUCUUCGGAUCGUAAAACUCUGUUAUUAGGGAAGAACAAAUGUGUAAGUAACUAUGCACGUCUUGACGGUACCUAAUCAGAAAGCCACGGCUAACUACGUG
rnacentral:rRNA from 1 species